GGGCUCCCCAAGCAACCGGAGGCCAAUAUCGGCUUGAGGCUGGCCUGCUGCACUCCUGGUGCACUGUUCCUUCUUGAUAUCUGGGUGAGCAGGAAGUGCAUAGCCACACAUGCACACACACAAAUUGUGCUGUGGUGAAACGUACGUUCAGUGAAACACAGCACUCCGGAGGACUGUGGCUGAGUCUCGGCGAUGGACAGAGAACUGUGGCCCUGGCUGAGGAUGUGACGAUUGUUAACCAGGCUUGAACAAUCUGACUUCCCCUGUGGUCUGAAGCGCUGCCACUCUUCACAGGUGACACUGGCAUGUGCUUGGGUUGGCUUCAGGGCUCUCUGCUAAGCCCUGAAAUCUGCUGAUGUGCUUGUGCUCAUGCUCUUCCUUCAGGGGUUUGCAGUGGCACAUGCUCGGAAUACUCUUUCUAGCGAUUGUCCUGCCUAUUCUUGUUUAUGAGAUGCUUUCCCAAAAGAAUCUUACAACCAGUGUGUCUACUAUGUCCCAUUUCCUUUGGCACUUCAUUGUAAUUUGCAUUAUUCAGACAGAUUUAGGGUUAGGUCUUCCUGUGUGAGAACAGAGCCCUCUUGCUGUCUCAGCAGUGCCCCAUGAUCCCCAGGAGUACCCGAAGAUCUUCUUGCAUGUUUUUCAACUUCAUUUCUCGUGCUGCUCCUGUUUGGGAAUCUCUUUCUCGUCCUCUUUUCUGAUAUCUGUGUGUUCAGAGGCUCCUGGUUAUUGGUGUGUGCCCAGCGGUAGAGCUUCUGCUUGACACUUGCCUGGCGGGAGGGAGAUUGGAGACAGAUGUGCCUUAUUGUUUGAGAGACCACAGAGCUGCAGUAGCUAUCAACUGCCGUGUAACAAGCCACCCAAACCUAGUGCUUAAAACCACAAUAAACAUUUAUGAUCUCGCUGCUGGAA